rnacentral:lncRNA from 1 species
GUGCACUCGGACCUUCCGCGCGCCAGACCCCGCCCCUCGGAGGCCCCGCCCAGGGCGCGCAGCCAGGGGUUUCCAUGGUGAUGGUAAACAAGCCUCAACUGCCUCAGCUACAACUGCCAAGUUCCCCGCGUUCCACCCUCCUCUAGGUGCUCAGAGGGACGAUCGAGGUGCCGGAUGUGAAGAGCGGGAGCGUGGAGACUCGGAGCCCGAGGACAGUUCGUUACCUACCAGGAGUGUCUCCGACUGUGGGCAUCCCCUCCCUGGGUUGUUCUUUAAGCCACAAAAAGCUGCACCCAAGCUUGUUUGAC